rnacentral:rRNA from 1 species
AGCGAACGCUGGCGGCAGGCCUAACACAUGCAAGUCGAACGAACUCUUCGGAGUUAGUGGCGGACGGGUGAGUAACACGUGGGAACGUGCCUUUAGGUUCGGAAUAACUCAGGGAAACUUGUGCUAAUACCGAAUGUGCCCUUCGGGGGAAAGAUUUAUCGCCUUUAGAGCGGCCCGCGUCUGAUUAGCUAGUUGGUGAGGUAAAGGCUCACCAAGGCGACGAUCAGUAGCUGGUCUGAGAGGAUGAUCAGCCACAUUGGGACUGAGACACGGCCCAAACUCCUACGGGAGGCAGCAGUGGGGAAUCUUGCGCAAUGGGCGAAAGCCUGACGCAGCCAUGCCGCGUGAAUGAUGAAGGUCUUAGGAUUGUAAAAUUCUUUCACCGGGGACGAUAAGGACGGUACCCGGAGAAGAAGCCCCGGCUAACUGCGG